AAGAUACAGGCAGAGGGUUGCGUGAUUUUGCAUUUCUGGAUUUCACCUAAACAUUGGUGAUAACCCAUCCAUUGAUGAUACAGUUGCAGUGAUGUCCUGCUGCUUAAAUUUUAAAACCACCUGAGCCCUUUCACCUUCAGUUUUAGUCAUGAAGGAAGAUGCAAGGAUACCUGGGAAAAUUACCAAAGCUGGGCAUCUGACCAGCGUUCCCACAUGGAGGAAUUUAUCCUUCAGAUACUGUGCACUUCUAGGCCCGUGGACGGACCACAGCAAACACCCAUCAAGCUGCAGAUGGCCGAUGGACCAACCUUUUCACUGAUCACCUCGAUGUUAGACUUCAGCCGGAGGGCCAGCUCAGGAAGCUGAGGAUGAGAAGAAGCCAGAGCAGGUCAGCAUGGGGGAGAGGGGAGAAACGCCUCCCGCAGCCGCACUGCUGGGGUCCCAAGAACCCUGGAAGAGCUGGGUGGGCCUGGUGGUCCAGGACACGUGUUUGCCACUGGUGGAAGAUAGCCCUAGGUCAGCCACUAUGGGGCGUGGGGUCCCCCUCGGCCUAGACUUUUACUGUGGAUUGGUGGUGGUUGUAGGUUUGUGGGCAGCUCACUGCUCCCAGAGGACACAGAGAAGUGACCCAGUUCUCACUAUAGUCAUGAACGUGGUUGCUGGUGACCACUCCUUUUCUCUCACCAUCUCAGCCCCUUGCUCUGACUUCUAAUCCUAAAGAACUUGGUUAUCUGUAGCUUGUCAUCUGACUUCAAGUCUUGACACCCUCUCAUAACUUUGGGCCAAUCCCUUCCCCCUGUGGGCCUCAGUUUCCCAAUCAGUCAUCUUGGAGGAGGUGGCACACCCUGGUUGCCUACUGUGCUGUGUUGAUAAAGAUUCCAAGGCUAUGUUGGCACCUAGGCUCAAUAGGAAGGAAGACCCUGAUUGAUUAGUAAUGUCUGCUGUGGGCCCCAUGGUGGACAGCAGUGGCAUGGUAUCUAAGAUGCCCUUUGGUUCAAGAGGACUGUUAUUUGGUAGAAGAAUUAUGAGGUUCUGGAGGGCAGACUAGGACCAGGGCUGGAUGUCACAGGGAAAGUUUCAGCUUUAGAGCUACAUGUCAGAGACAGAGACCGUUGUGGGGGCAGUGGAGGGUGCUCUCCAUUACUAGAGGGAUUUAAAUUGAGCUUGAUAGGGGAUUCCGGCCCAGGGGCUUAGGGGUCCCUGCACCCCCUUUGAUUCAGGAAAUUCCUGUGAUGCAGCAGAGGUGGCUGCAUCCUCUGUCCCAUGCUGAGGCUUACCACAUAGUCCAACAGGACCAUGAUUUCUUCAGGAGGGAUCAGGGCAGCCAUCACAGCAUUCACCACGUCCUGCCUUAUG